GUUAAAGGGUGGGGUUUAAGAUUUAGGGUUUAGGGUUUAGGGUUUAGGGUUUAGAUUCUAGGGUUUAGGGUUUAGGGUUUAGGGUUUAGAGUUUAGGGUUUAUGGUUUAGGGUUUAGAGUUUAGAGUUUAGGGUUUAGGGUUUAGAGUUGAGAAAUGAGGUUUUGGGGAUAAGAUUUCAAAUUUUGAAAAAUAAAAAAAAUUAAAAUUUUCAAAGGAUAAACUUAGAAAGGUGCUAUUUUGAUCAUUUUAGUUUUUGAGUGUUAUUUUUGUGAUAUAAAGUGCUAUUUUGAAGAUUUGCCCUUAAUUAAUUUAUUGAAAAUGCAAAAGUGGCCUCCCGGGAUUUAUGCUUCAAGAAUCAGCUUCUUAUAAUUUUCUUAUUGAAAAAAAUCUAAAUAGUGAUAGUUACGGGGGAGAGGGAAGCAGCAGACGAGAUACCAGAAAGAUAAAUCA
rnacentral:lncRNA from 1 species